UUUCUUUACGUGCAAGAGACAUGUGAUAUAGGGAAAUAAAGUUAACACACUCAAAUGUAUCUCAUGCACAAAGAUGAUUAAUCGAAAUGAGUUAUUUUUUAUUUUUUAUUUUUUAAAUUUUUUUUAUAAGAUAUUUUCGAUUAAGAUGCAUACUAAACCGUUUUCUUUAAAACGUUUAAAGACACCGGCCGAAAUCAUAUAAAU
rnacentral:lncRNA from 1 species